CGUAACAAAAUGUGGAAAGUUUAGGGGUCUGAAUACUUUCCGAAUGCACUGUAUACUGUGUACAAAACAAACAUUAAGGGUACUUCCAAUUGUCUGACUGAAGUUGAUAAUGAGUGCAUGCUGUAGUGAUUUGAUACACGAAAUCAGAGGGAAACCGAUGGAAACAGUUGGAUCCUUGAUCACGUCAUCUUUCCAAAGGACACAAUAAACAGACAAAACUAAAAUAAGAACCAGAAAACUGAGAAGUAUCUCCGUUCCAUGUUUGUCUGUCUGUGCUUUUGGGGUCCGAAGAAAGAAGGGAUUCAAAGUGUCCAGCAGACCAGCUGCUGACAUGUGUAACCCAUAGACUCCCCUCUCAAGAGUAGGAGUCCCAGUCUAUGGUAUACAAAAGGUCUAUUCUAUUCCCAGAGCACACAGUAAGUCUCUGAGUGGGAUUCAGGCUCCAGCCAAAACACCCUUCACCCUCAAACAGAAACACACAGAUCAUUCAUUACAAGCCUUAUGUGUGGGUGUCAGCUUUUGUGGCUUUUGUGCUAGGAUUGUGUGCAUGUAUGACGUGUGUGUGUGCGUGCAUGCAUCCAUGCCUGCGUGUGUGCGUGUUUGUGUGAGUUUGUGCACACGCGCAUGACUAAUAUUGCUGUGGUGUUCAUGUAUUACAGAGCAAGAAUAUGCCUGUACGGUUCAGUGAAGAAAAGAGGAUGAGAGAACAGGAGUCUGUUGAGAGAUUGUUUUCUUCUAUGGAAUGUGGUGAAUCGUGUAGGUGCUGUUUUUGGCUUUGCAGAGUAAAUCCCAGUCCAGGGUGGUCUUCUCCAGAACGUCCACCAGUUUCUCCAACUUGGUGUUGGCCGUGAAGAUGAAGUCAUCGUCCACCCACAGCAGAUACUUGGUAGUCACCUGGGAAACGGCUAGGUUCCGUCCUGCAAACCAGCCCUAGUUGUUGUGACACAGAGAACAGGAUGUGGGAAAGAGGAAGCAGAAGCGAAAGGACAACUAAGAAAAUCACAGGAAGUACUUUUUCACUUAAGGUCAUCUGUCAAGGAUCAUUUAAGCAAACAAUGGUAGUGUUAGACACAUUUUUGACCUGACAGGUACACGUACACUGUAUCCCAUCCCUUACUUGCAAAUAGAGGCAGUAGUGAUUAAAAAAAAACCUUUCCAAAUGGCAUGAUGUAAUGUUCGAUGUAAGGGCCAGAGACCAUCUUUGGGUUUUCACUGUCAUCAGCUAUUACUAUGGUGACAGUG